GAAAUGCGAUAAGUAAUGUGAAUUGCAGAAUUCAGUGAAUCAUCGAAUCUUUGAACGCACAUUGCGCCCGCCAGCACUCUGGCGGGCAUGCCUGUCCGAGCGUCAUUUCAACCCUCAGUGCCCCCCGGGAGCGCUGGUGUUGGGGACCGGCUGCCCGCAGCGGCUGCCGGCCCUGAAAUACAGUGGCGGCCCCAUCGCGAGCUCCCCUGCGCAGUAGUGAUACCUCGCAGCCGGACGGCGGUGCGGCCACGCCGUAAAACCCCCCUACUUCUCAAGGUUGACCUCGGAUCAGGUAGGAAUACCCGCUGAACUUAA
rnacentral:misc_RNA from 1 species